UCUGGCCGGGACGUGUAGUGACGGUGGUUGGUUUCGUGUUUAGGUGAACGUGUAUGUUAUUUAAGUGCUGGAUAAAUUAUAUUCAACCAGUUAUAUUUCGAAGAAUCCAUUCCACCAUGAAACAGUGUGACUUUGAAACAGACUUCGAGCUGGAAGACAACAGAGUACUCGGAAGUGCCACUACUGAAAGUUCAGACUUUGCAUUAUUGCUACGAGCCCCGCCUAUGUCAUCUUCUUUGAUUUGAUCAUCCUAGCAAUGUUUAGUGACGAACACAAAACACUUCGAAAUCUCUUCUUCCAUUCAUGUGAAAGACCAAGUUUCAUACCCGUGUAAAAGAACAGGUCUACAUCCGAUAUAAGUGAGCGCAAACUGCUGAGGAAUAAAACAUUGCAAAGAAUACUGAUGGACAUAUAGUGCACUAAACAGUACUGGUGUUAUACUAUCAUCUGGGAAUGGUUUUGAUACCAGUGUAUGCCAGCAGCAAGACAAAUUGAGACACUUCUUUGACACAGAAAAACAGGACGUCAAACAGUCUCAAACAGUCGAUUAUAGUUCAAGGCCAUUUGAUUAGGAAAUAUUCAGUGUAAAAAUUAUUCGCGUGUGACCGUUUGUUCAUUGUUUAUUUGCCUGCAAUGAAGAAAAAUUGGCUCUUUAACCCUUCGAAGCGGAAUCUUGCCUUUGAAUAAUAUUUAAAACUUUGAGCCAUUACCUCGAGGAAAGCACAACCCCACAUUCAUUAUUAAAAUCAACUAGUAAAUUUUGUUUAAAGAUAUAACCGCUGUUUACUCUGAAAAUUAUACAAAAUUGAUAAAUACACUUCGUGGGCAAAUCACAGAAUUAUUUAAAGAUAAGAAACGGGUGGUACGUGCAGUUACUUUUAGACUCUGAAGUGUUAACGUGGAUAUUAAAAUUGUUAGGAAAUUAAUGUCGUCGAAAUUCAUGUCACUUAUAUAACGAUAGUAAAUAAGAACAAUAAAAUAAAAUUGUAUUUCUUGUUCAGGCCAUUAAA